GGCAAGAUGGCCGAGUGGUUAAGGCGUACGCUUCAGGAUCGAUCUGAAAUCAUCAUACAGGUUCUUCAAUCUGGAAACGCGUAUCUUCGGGCGUGGGUUCGAAUCCCACUCUUGUCA